GAACCUAAGCACACUACUCAACAUUGCUCAAAGAAGUGACACAACCAUAAAAUGAGGAGUAUAGUGAUCAAAGAAGAUAGCAUGUCAAAAAACAAAUUUGUCCAACUACAAUAGGGACUGUGCGGUUGGAACCUUGUACAACACCUAGUGAAGGUCCUAUUCUCUCUUUAGAACCCUUUCCAUGUUUUACGAUAAAUGUUAUUGUAAGAUCUAAACAUCAUAAAGCCUCUACUUUACUAGAUUCACGAGCCUCAGCAUGUUUCUUAAAUGAAGAAUUUGCU
rnacentral:lncRNA from 1 species